UGAACGCUGGCGGCAGGCCUAACACAUGCAAGUCGAGCGGAUGAAGGGAGCUUGCUCCUGGAUUCAGCGGCGGACGGGUGAGUAAUGCCUAGGAAUCUGCCUGGUAGUGGGGGAUAACGUCCGGAAACGGGCGCUAAUACCGCAUACGUCCUGAGGGAGAAAGUGGGGGAUCUUCGGACCUCACGCUAUCAGAUGAGCCUAGGUCGGAUUAGCUAGUUGGUGGGGUAAAGGCCUACCAAGGCGACGAUCCGUAACUGGUCUGAGAGGAUGAUCAGUCACACUGGAACUGAGAAACGGGCCAGACUCCUAAGGGAGGCAGCCGUGGGGAAUAUUGGACAAAGGGCGAAAGCCUGAUCCAGCCAUGCCGGGGGGGUGAAGAAGGUCUUCCGAUUGUAAAGCACUUUAAGUUGGGAGGAAGGGCAGUAAGUUAAUACCUUGCUGUUUUGACGUUACCAACAGAAUAAGCACCGGCUAACUUCGUG
rnacentral:rRNA from 1 species